rnacentral:misc_RNA from 1 species
UUUCUUCCUCCUCUCUCCCCAUCUCCCCUCUCUCUCCUCACUGACCGGUGGAGCGGGGCGGCGGCGACCAGAGGCUGGUGG